AGUGAACGCUGGCGGUAGGCCUAACACAUGCAAGUCGAACGGCAGCACAGUAAGAGCUUGCUCUUACGGGUGGCGAGUGGCGGACGGGUGAGGAAUACAUCCGAAUCUACUUUUUCGUGGGGGAUAACGUAGGGAAACUUACGCUAAUACCGCAUACGACCUACGGGUGAAAGCAGGGGAUCUUCGGACCUUGCGCGAUUGAAUGAGCCGAUGUCGGAUUAGCUAGUUGGCGGGGUAAAGGCCCACCAAGGCGACGAUCCGUAGCUGGUCUGAGAGGAUGAUCAGCCACACUGGAACUGAGACACGGUCCAGACUCCUACGGGAGGCAGCAGUGGGGAAUAUUGGACAAUGGGCGCAAGCCUGAUCCAGCCACACCGCGUGGGUGAAGAAGGCCUUCGGGUUGUAAAGCCCUUUUGUUGGGAAAGAAAAGCAGCAGGUUAAUACCCCGCUGUUCUGACGGUACCCAAAGAAUAAGCACCGGCUAACUUCGUG
rnacentral:rRNA from 1 species